ACCUGCAGGUUGAAUGUCCAAAGCUGCAGCCAUCUGGGGAUUCUGGUUCCAUUCUGAAGGAUGAGUUCACCUUGGCUGAGAACUGGAGGUAGAGAGAUUAAGAGAGAAGAUGCUGGAGAGAACGGGUCAUAGGAUUCGAUUCGGUGGGGACUGCGAUUCGAUGGAGCACGUGCGGGAGUCGACUGAGGAUCGGUGUCUGGGGUCCUGUUAAAGUCUGUGAUCUACAGCUGCAGUCAAACUGCAUUUCUGCACGGUGGGGGAUCUCUGCUCUCGGAUCUCGCCAAGCAGCCUAGCGUUUUUGAUAUCUCCAGGAGCAGCCUGAAGGACUCCGCAACCCUAUAGAUGAACCAAUUCCUCACUGAUAUUGCCGAAUGAAGCAUUGCAGGAGAUGGGACCAUCAAGAUCGUAGUGUACGUGCUGUUGAAAUAAGCAAUGCUGUUGACUGUAACAGCAACACAGUGAGCCCUUGGCCUCCCCUCUCACCAUGACAGGAGAGAGACAGAGCCUGUGGGAUGCCAUAAUGUUGGGGUGAACAGUGGGACUUAUAAUAGACUCUAGAUCAUUGUGGAUCAAUACACAAUGCUAUAAACUUUCAAUACACAUCUAUUGCUAUUGACCUAUUGUGGCAAUAGGCAAAUUGCAAUGGGUCCAGGAGUUCAGUCUAGUCAUGACCAACCUCUCAAAACAUUUCAUCACUCUCGAUAUCAGUGCUACUGGGUGAUAGUCAUUAAGGCAGCUCACAUUAUUCUUUUUAGGCACUGGUAUAAUUGUCGCCUUUUUGAAGCAUCCACCCGUAGCAGUCAGAGGUUGAAAAUCUCCUUGAAUACUGCUAGUUGGUUGGCACAGGUUUUCAGAGCCCUAGCAGGUACUCCAUCAGGACUUUCCACUUUGUGAGGGUUCACUCUCUUUAAAGACAGUCUAACAUUGGCCUCUGAGACAGAGAUCACAGGGUCACCAGGUGCAGCAGGGACCUUCACAACUGUAGUUGUGUUUUCCCUUUCAAAGCGGGCAUAGAAGGCAUUGAGUUCAUCUGGUAGUGAAGCAUCGCCACCAUUCAUACUAUUGGGUUUCACUUUGUAGGAAGUAAUGUCUUGCAGACCCUGCCAGAGUUGCUGUGCAUCUGAUAUCUCCUCCAACCUCAUUUGAAAUUGUCUCUUAGCCCUUGAAAUAGUUCUCUGCGUACCUGGUUUUCUGGUACAGGCCUGGGUCACCAGACUUGAAUGCCACAGAUCUAGCCUUCAGCAGACAACAUACUUCCUGGUUCAUCCACGGCUUUUGGUUUGGGAAUGUGCAGUAAGUCUUUGUAGGCACACACUCAUCCACACAGGUUUUAAUGAGGUCAGUAACAACUGCAGCAUACUCAUCCAGAUUCGAAGAUGAAUCCCUGAGUAGACCGAUUCAAAACAGUCUUGUUGACGUUCCUGUGCUUCCCUUGUCCUUACCUUCUUGGUCCUCAUUGCUGGUGUUGCAGUCUUCAGUCUCUGCCUAUAUCAGGGAGUAGAAGUACAGCCAGGUGAUCAGACUUCCCGAAGUGAGGGCAUGGACUAACAUGGUAGGCAUUAUUGAUGGUGGUGUAGCAAUGGUCCAGUGUGUUGUUUCCUCUGGUAUUGCAAGUGAUCUGUUGAUGGUAAUUACUUAGUUUUUUUUUCAGACUGGCCUGGUUAAAACCUCCCAAAACAAUGAAACAAAACAAUGUUAGGGUACACUGUUUUGUGCAUGUUGAUCCCAUUGCUCAGGUCAUCUAAAGCCUGAUUGACAUCAACCUGAGUUGGGAAGUAAACUGCUACCAAAAUGACCCCAGAGAACUUCCGUGGCAGGUAAAAAGGGACAGCACUUAACUGCUAGAUAUUCCAGAUCUGGUGAGCAGAAUUGGGAUAGCAGAUAUAUUUGCGCAUCAAGAAGAGUUGAUCAUGAGGCAUUCUCAUCCACCUCUGCUUUGAGAGACUCUAUACAUCAUCCUGACAGUGUAUACUAAACCCAUCAAUCUGGAUCGUUGUAGCCAGUACAGAAGGGGUUAACCAGGAUUCCUUGAAACAAAGGCAUUUCCUUUAUCUCCACCGCAUCUCCAUCUCAGCAUGAGGCUUUUCAUUCUGAAAUGUCUUCCUUUGUAAAAGAAUGCAGUUCUCUCUCCACUGUCAUUGCUGCUGCCCUCGCCUCCAUUUCCCAGACACCUGUUCUCAUCCCAUCCCCGCUGAGUCGCAAGUCAAAUUUAGAUUUUUGUUUUAGGCUCACAGGGAUGGUUUGGGGGCCUGAGAGUGGAGUUGGGGGUCUGGUUAUGGUUUAGGGACAGGAUGUGGGUGAUUUAGAGGUCAGUCCAGUCAAGAUCUCUGCUCAAUAUCCAAAGGCCAGAGAGGUGGAGGUGGUAUAUCUGUAAUCAGAUGUCAAAGGUCAGGCCAGCGGACAAGCACACUUGAGGGCCAGUCAUCCCCUGCCGUGUCAGAGAGUUGUCAGCUGGUUUUGGAAUUGGAGUACCAUGUGGUCUAGAGGGAUGAGGUCCAAUGACUCUCUGAGUUAGCAAAACAUUGAAACUGGAGUUCAACACCUAGUGUUUAGGGUCUCUUCAGUGAUGUGUUUAGUGUUCGAGGCCUAAUGUUCAGUGAUUUGAGGGUCCUGUGGUCAAUGUCAAGGAUCGAGGCCCAAGUGUCAAAUCACAAGUCUGAAAGUCGAGUCCCAUUUGCUGGACACCCAAGUGUGUGAAUCUCUGUGAGGUCCACUGGUGAAGUUGAAGCCCAGUUUCUCAAGCCCGAGUCUGCUGGAACCUAAAGGCUGAAGAAAAUGGCAUGUCCUGUGGAUGGUUGACUGAGUAUGUGCAAGGGUAGGAGAGAGGAAUAGGGCUUGUUUUUACUGUUGUUAUUUACUGUUUGCUGUGUUCUGUUUUUGUUGUAUUCUGUGUUGUUCUGCAUUUGGGUUCAGGUUAUGCCAAUGUGGUUAUGCCUCGUUGAUGUUGGAAUGUACGUCAACAAUUGUGGGCUGUCCCCAGAACACCCAAGAUUGUACUGGUUGUUAAUGCAUUUCACAGUAUGUUUCAAUGUAGAGUACACAUGAUAAAUAAACUUGAAUCCCCCCCACUAUAGCAGGUAUAAAGUCCCCAUGUCCUUGCUUACCAUCCCACGUGCCUCCAGGAGCCAUAGAUUAUUCUCUAUAACUUCUACCAUCUACAACUGGAUGCUACCACUAAGCAUGAUUCCCCCCCCCCCUUCCCCACCACUUUCCACAGGAAUUGCUUUCUACCUGACCCCUUGUCCACUUGUCCUUCCCCACUGAUCUCCCUCCUGUUACUUAGCAGGACAAAUGCUACACCUCCUCCAUGACCACCACUCAGGGGCCCAAACAGUCCUCCCUGGUGAGGCAACUCUUUACUUGUGAGUUUGUUGGGAUCAGCUCCUGUGUCCUGUGCUGUCUGUGUGGCCUCCUCUGCAUUGGUGAGGCCCAGUGUAGACUAGGGGUCUGCUUUGUUGAGCACAUUCAUUCCCUCUGCAACAAAAAAUGGGAUUUCCCUGUAACCACCAUUUGAAUUGGACUUCCCAUUCCUAUUCCAACAUGUCAGUCCAUGGCCUCCUCUGCUGCCACAAUGAGGCUACACUCAGUUUGGAGCAGCAGCACCUCAUAUUUUAUCUGGGUAGCCAACAAUCUGAUGGCAUGAGCAUCAAUUUCUCUGACAUCUGGCAAUUUCUACCUUCUCUUUUUUUUAUAUUCCCCAUUCUGAAACCCUUCUCACCUGCCCAUCAUCUCCCUCUGGAGCCCCUCUUCCUUCCCUUUCUCCCAUGUUCCACUGUCCUCUCCUAUCAGGUUCCUCCUUUGUCAGCUCUUUACCUCUUCCACCCAUCAAUUCCUAGCUUCUUACCUCAUCACCCCAUCCCACCCAUCUACCUUCCCCCUCAACUGAAACUUUACAUGCCUGCCUCUCCUCCACCUUCUUAUUCUGGUUUCUGUUCUCUUCCAUCUGAGUCUGGUGAAGGGACUUGGCCAGAAACAUAGACUAGUUAUUCCUUCUAUAGAUGCUGCCUGACUUGCUGAGUUCCUUCAGCAAUUUGUUUGCGUUGCACCUGCAGAAUCUCUUGUGUUUAUGACCAAUGUUGUACUUCUGCAUUGGAAGAGCUUGCUUACUUGACCUUCUAAGUAAUAGAGUUCACAAGCUUAGGAGGCGUUGUUGGAUAAUCUUUGGGAAAUGCUUUUUAAAGAUAGCACCCACUGCAGCCACUGAUUUAGUGGUGGAGGGUAUGAAGGUUUAGAUAGAAUACCAAUCGAGUGGGCCACUUUGCCCUGAAUAGUGUCAAGAUUCCUGAGUAUCGUCUGGACACUUCCUACUGCCUCACCUGGAAAACUGUUUGAUGGUGGGGGGGGGGGGGGCGGUGGAGGUGCAGGGACAGCUGUAUCACUAGCAUGUUUGCCAGGUGGGAGCUCAGUGGGGAGGAACAAGUGGAUAAGAGAGUAAUAUAGAGAGUGAUUCCUACAGAAAGCAGAGAGUGGGGUGGGGAGGGAAAAUUAUAUAUAUGACCAGUUGUAGAUGUUUGAAGUUACAGAGAAUAAUGUUAAUGUUGUUCUGGAUACGGAGGCUCAUAGGAUGAUAGGCUAGGAUAAGCAAAACUCUUUCCCUGUUCUGGCAUUGGGAUUUAAGAUUCAAGAUUCAAGUCUAUUUAUCACACACACAUCAAAAUAUGCAGGGAAACAUACUGAAUUGGACUCCAAUUAACUGUCAAGUAGUAUUCAAGCACAGAAAUAGUAGAAUCAGCAGGGAGUGAGGCUAUUGAUGUGUAAUAUACAAUUCAUUAAUAUUGCAAUGAUACAAGGUGCCCUGCAUUAUACUUCAGCCAUAGGAAACAUUUUUUAAUGAUGAUGUGAUUCACACAAAUUUAUUGAAGCUAUAAAAAAGCAAAGCACAUGUCAACACUUUGGAAUAUAUUUAUGAUGUCUGAAUGAUGAGAAUUAACUUCAACUAGGAUUUGUAGUUAACACAGAAAGAUUUGACGUCUAGUGGGAUAUUUUGAAUUCAUCAUGACGUCUAGAAUUAGUGGGAUAUUUUGAAUUCAUUUUUUUAAUAUAUGACAAGAAAAGAUUUCUAUUCAGAUCAGAAUGGGAAAAUCAAGAUUUUGCUAAUCAAUGCUUUCUGAAUGUAGUGUAGAAUAUGCUUAAUUAAAGUUACUUUAUUAAGAGAAGAAGAAUUGUUCUGACUGGGAUUUUUGUAAUAUGGAAAGAAUUUUACAGGAUAGAUACUGAGAUGGUGGUGGAGUUGCUGGAGUACGUUAUUAUCUACAGCAACACAUUUUGGCAGAAAACAUCAUUUGUACUUUUUUCCAUGGAUGCUGCCUGACCUGCUGAGUUCCUCCAGCAUUUUGUGUGUAUUGCUCAAAUUUCCAGCAUCUGCAGAUUUUCUCUUAUUUGUCAUUAUCUACAGAUUCCCCUCCAGCUGGAAAUACCUUGUUGGUCCUACUUUGUUGCUGGAUCAAAUCUGCAAAACUUCCAUUCCAAUGACACUGUGGGAGCACCUUCACCAGAAAGGUCACAGCAGUUCAAGAAGGCGACUCACCAUAACCUCCUCAAAGGCAAUGAGAAAUGGGCAUUAACAGUUUCUCUCUCCACAGACAUUACCUGAUCCAUUGAGUACUUCCAGCAUUUUUGGUUAUUUCAUAUUACAAGCAUUUGCUUUUCUCAGAUUCUCAAGCAUAACAGGGCAGCUGGGCUCUCGCUGCUCACCAUAAAGCGUCAACAAUAUUUUUUAGCAUUUUACCUAAAAAGUCUUCAAAUCCUAUAGGUCUCAUAUUGCAAAGAAUGAAGAAAAAAGGCUGUAUUUACCAAUAGCUUCUUUCUAAAUGAGAAAUACAUGCCCACUAAAACUCAUUAAAUAAUACCAAUCCAUGGUGUGAAAUGACCAACAGUGUGAGAUUCUUUUCCGAUCCAUGGUGCAAAGAAAUCUAGAAUAUAUGUUGGGCCUCCUAAUGGGUAUUAAAGUGGAUAAAUCCCCAGGGUUUACCCAGGUUUUUGAGGGAGGCCAGAGUCAAGAUUGCAGAGCUCUUGACCGGUAUCUUCAUGCACUUUCUAGCUAUGGGCAGGGUCCCAGAGGAAUGGCGAAUGGCUAAUGUACUUCUAUUAAAGAAAGGAAGAAAGGAAAAUCAUGGCAACUACAGACCAAGUGAGUCUCUCGUCUGUUGUAGGGAAAUUGCCAGAGAAAACUCUUGGGAAUAGGAUAUAUACGCAUUUAGAAACCCUUAGCCCAGGCAUGGGCAAACUACGACCCGCGGGCCAUAUGCGGCCCGUUAAGCUUUUUAAUCCAGCCCGCAGAACUUGAUGAAAUUAUAUUAAUAAACCUUGUUAACGUUUUUUCCCCGCAAUUCUGGCGUCUUCCCAAUAGAUGACGCACUCUAUAUACAUUGACCUUUGUUGAGGUGCAGCGUAUUACUCCACAUUUGCGCUUUACUUUGUGACCUUGUGGUGACCCAUUUCCUGGCACAUCCGAACCGGCUCACAAUUAGCUAGCGUUCCGGCUAAGGGAGAUAGCCUGCGGGGAUUUGCGAGCACAGAGCUCCGCAUAUUGGCCCGCUCUCACUGUUCUGUCAUUGUGCGGGUCGUUGUUGAGUUUUGGCACAGGGGAUAAUUGAAUAAGAAGGAGCAGGACAAGUAGACCUGCAUCUCCUGCCAUUUUUGAAAUAAAGACAGUCAGGAGGAGAGUGAUGAUGAUAAUAUCUUGAAGGAUAACAAAAUUUUCAGUGCUUUAAAAUAAUAACUGUUACUAUUAAAAAAAAGCUGUAUUUUAUUCAUUUAAUUUUCAGUGUUUUAAAAGACAUUUCAAUAAAUAGCUAAAUACCAUGGGACUUCAAAGACAGAUAUUUUGUUGUAAUGCAUUUGUUCAUUUUCAAUUGAAAUUAAAGCACAUGUUUUCUACAUAUCCCAUGAUAUUUUAUUUUCUCUUAUGAGGUGUAUUACCAAAACACUCCGUCCAUCUGCUCCUGGU